GAUGAACGCUAGCUACAGGCUUAAUACAUGCAAGUCGAGGGGAAACGACAUCGAAAGCUUGCUUUUGAUGGGCGUCGACCGGCGCACGGGUGAGUAACGCGUAUCCAACCUGCCCACCACUUGGGGAUAACCUUGCGAAAGUAAGACUAAUACCCAAUGAUAUCUCUAGAAGACAUCUGAAAGAGAUUAAAGAUUUAUCGGUGAUGGAUGGGGAUGCGUCUGAUUAGCUUGUUGGCGGGGUAACGGCCCACCAAGGCAACGAUCAGUAGGGGUUCUGAGAGGAAGGUCCCCCACAUUGGAACUGAGACACGGUCCAAACUCCUACGGGAGGCAGCAGUGAGGAAUAUUGGUCAAUGGACGAGAGUCUGAACCAGCCAAGUAGCGUGCAGGAAGACGGCCCUAUGGGUUGUAAACUGCUUUUAUAAGGGAAUAAAGUGAGUCUCGUGAGACUUUUUGCAUGUACCUUAUGAAUAAGGACCGGCUAAUUCCGUG
rnacentral:rRNA from 1 species